rnacentral:piRNA from 1 species
UGGUUUUUGGACAGGUAAAAUGGGGGAA